AGUUGGACUGUCAGAUCUCGAACUUGAUGCGAUUUGGGCCGUCAGAUCUGUCCCUGGGAUGAGCUGGGCCGUUGCAUAAAAUUCGGCUUCGAACAGCUAUACAGUUCCUUUCUGACGUUCCCCGUUGGCUCACGCCUCUCUGUCGCGUGGGCUCGAUGCCUGGUGGGGCCCUUUUGUCGGCGUCGUGCGUGAGGCUAGCUGCGGUGUGUGGCUUCCACGCUGGAUCGUGCGGUGGCUCCGCAUGUAAUUUUGAGAACCCGUCGUGGGCAGUAUGGGGAUUUCAUGUGUCGACCCUUCGCGUGUCACGUGCUGGUUUGCUCGGGCGUGGAUGAGGUGAGUGAGGGCAUGUACAAUGGUUGAUAAGGUAGUCUUAUCUUAAGUUUUGCAUGUAAAUUUAUAAAUGACAAAAAAAAUUGUAUACAAUGGGUCAUCUCUCAGCCUUAUCUUCAAUAACUAGCUCUUCCUAAAAACAUGGUAAGACAUAUCGUACUAAGAGAUCAUCUCUUGUCUUCUCUUAAAUUAGAGAAAACAAGCCUUUUUUAUGAUUUUUCUCUCCUCCACCUCAUCAUUUAUCCUACGUGGCAUUGCUAAGAUGGACAUGCCCUGAGGGGUGCAUCCAUCUUCUUCCUGCUUCUCAUUCGUCCCUUUCUCUCCACUUCAUCCCUUUCCACCAGAUCCGACGCCGUUCCAGCUUAUCGUUGCCUCGCCGCCGUGAAAAAGUUGGGAAAGGGGAAGGAGGCUAUCGUCUUGCGGUUGGGCCGGAGUAGGGGUGAGUUGGAUGCCGCUGAUGUCUUCGUGCAACGGAGGAGGGUUAGGGUUUGCUAUUUGAUUGGUGGCUGCGGCGGCGGCGACGGAGUUGGCGGGGACGAGGGCGGCGGCGCCGUGACGGGGUCGUGGCAUGGCAGCGCCCAGCUCUACGUGUCGCUCAAGAUGGAGAACGUGUGGAUCAUUGGCGACCUCGUGCCGCACGUCUACGGCUCUGAGCCCAUCAUCGGCUCAUGAGAACCUGCCUGCGCCCUCGCGAUGGAAAGGGAGCUGGCGAACAUGCGGGAGGUCAGCUUAGUUGUGUUGCCGGACCAUGAAACACUUGAGUUCAAAUUCUUGCUCAAGCCCAAGGACGCGGAGACCCCGUGCAUCACUGAGGAACGGCCGACGCGGCUCCUCACCAGGGGCAUGCUCCAGGGUGAUGUGAGGCUUGCAAACUUCAGGCUUAAUGGAGAUGAUCAGUUGCUUGAGUAUAAAUGAAUCACCCACUCAUGCCGAUCGAGAUCGACUUGUGAUAUGACAAGCGACUCACGGUGUCACGGAAUGAGCAAUUAGAGAAGAGUGUUUUCACCAAAGGCGGGAGUGUUGGGUUCAUGUGCAUGCUUCACUAAAUCAUUUCCUUGUGACCUAGAAUAAGAUUUUUCCAAUUGGGAGUUGUAUGCUGAGAUUGUUCAUGUUGUGAAGUGCUUUGUGCGAAUGAUUAUUCUCUGUUCUUUGCCUCGGAUAACUACAAAUGAGGAGAUAACUACAAAUGAGGAGGUAUGAAGGAUUGACCGAGAAACUGAAUUAAAAUAUACUUGAUUUAAGUAUGGAUGCAUCAUGCCGUGGUUUAUUUGCAUCUCUGCACCUUUACUGGGAUGCUUACUGAAAGCCUUGCACAAGCGAAACCAGGCUAUCGUUUGGAGAAAAACACUAUACAUGCUGAGAAGAUAAGCUCAAGUAGAAGAGUACCACAUGUAAAUGACAAUGAUUUUUCAUAGAUACCCAGCGUUGGCUUGGUUGUGGAUAAAAGGAUCUAUGUACAGAAGCAUUACUAUCAUUUAUAGUUGUGUGCGCGUUUUGUACUGAAUCAUUACUAGUAUACAUGUUCUUAUCCCACCUCUUUGAGACAUAUUGUGCCUUUUGAACUCGCUGAGGCUGGAACAUAAC